UGGACCUUUCCUGCGAAAGCAUCUGCCAAGGAUGUUUUCAUUAAUCAAGAACGAAAGUUAGGGGAUCGAAGACGAUCAGAUACCGUCGUAGUCUUAACCAUAAACGAUGCCGACCAGCGAUUAGGAGACGUUGAAUACAAAACACCACCAUCGGUGCGGUCGUCCUUGGCGUCUCGGUCCUUCACGGGGCCGGGGCGCGGGGGUGGCUUAGCCCGGUGGCACCGGUGAA
rnacentral:rRNA from 1 species